UGGUUGGACGAGGUAAUGACUGUCUUUGUUUAAUGUAAAGUGGAACUUAACUUUUGAGUCAAAAGGCUCAAAUUUAAUUGAUAGACGAGAAGACCCUAUAGAUCUUUAUUUACAAGGUUAUAUAUUAAAUUUGGAUAAAUUUAUGGUUUAUGGCUUUAUAAAUUUUAUUGGGGUAAUAUAGAGAUUUAAUAAAUUCUUUGAAUAAUUUCAACAAUGAUAAUUGAUAAAUUGAUCCAUUAGUAUUGAUUAUAAGAUUAAGUUAC
rnacentral:rRNA from 1 species